rnacentral:tRNA from 1 species
GCCAAUGUAGCUCAGUCGGUAGAGCAAUUCCCUCGUAAUGAAUAGGUCAUCGGUUCGAUUCCGAUCAUUGGCUCCA